rnacentral:rRNA from 1 species
CACGCACGCUGGCGGCAUGCCUAACACAUGCAAGUCGAACGAGACCUUCGGGUCUAGUGGCGCACGGGUGCGUAACGCGUGGGAACCUGCCCUUAGGUUCGGAAUAACUCCCCGAAAGGGGUGCUAAUACCGGAUAAUGUCUUCGGACCAAAGAUUUAUCGCCUUUGGAUGGGCCCGCGUUGUAUUAGCUAGUUGGUAGGGUAAAAGCCUACCAAGGCGACGAUCCAUAGCCGGUCUGAGAGGAUGAUCAGCCACACUGGGACUGAGACACGGCCCAGACUCCUACGGGAGGCAGCAGUGGGGAAUAUUGGACAAUGGGCGAAAGCCUGAUCCAGCAAUGCCGCGUGAGUGAUGAAGGCCUUAGGGUUGUAAAGCUCUUUUACCCGGGAUGAUAAUGACAGUACCGGGAGAAUAAGCUCCGGCUAACUCCGUG